rnacentral:rRNA from 1 species
GACGAACGCUGGCGGCGUGCUUAACACAUGCAAGUCGAACGGAAAGGCCCUGCUUUUGUGGGGUGCUCGAGUGGCGAACGGGUGAGUAACACGUGAGUAACCUGCCCUUGACUUUGGGAUAACUUCAGGUAACUGGGGCUAAUACCGGAUAGGAGCUCCUGCUGCAUGGUGGGGGUUGGAAAGUUUCGGCGGUUGGGGAUGGACUCGCGGCGUAUCAGCUUGCUGGUGGGGUAGUGGCUUACCAAGGCUUUGACGGGUAGCCGGCCUGAGAGGGUGACCGGCCACAUUGGGCCUGGGAUCCGGCCCAGCCUCCUCCGGGAGGCAGCAGUGGGGAAUAUUGCACCAUAGGCGGAAGCCUGAUGCAGCAACGCCGCGUGCGGGAUGACGGCCUUCGGGUUGUAAACCGCUUUCGCCUGUGACGAAGCGUGAGUGACGGUAAUGGGUAAAGAAGCACCGGCUAACUACGUG